rnacentral:rRNA from 1 species
CCCUUAGAUGUCCGGGGCUGCACGCGCGCUACACUGAAGGAAUCAGCGUGCUAAAACCAUUGUCGAAAGGCAUUGGUAAACCCAUUAAAAUCCUACGUGAUUGGGAUCGGGAAUUGCAAUUAUUUCCCUUGAACGAGGAAUUCCCAGUAAGUGUGGGUCAUAAGCUCGCGUUGAUUACGUCCCUGCCCUUUGUACACACCGCCCGUCUCUGCCCGGGACUGAGCCGUUUCGAGAAAAGCGGGGACUGCUGCUGUCGGGGCUUUCGGGCCUUGGCUUCGGUGGAAACCGCUUUAAUCGCAGUGGCUUGAACCGGGCAAAAGUCGUAACA